GUGCUCGCUUCGCCAGCACAUAUACUAAAAUCG
rnacentral:snRNA from 1 species